rnacentral:lncRNA from 10 species
GAAGGAGAGACGAAGAUAAAGAUGAGGAAUGUGGAUAAGGAGCAAUGACAGGGUCUGCUGCCCAGACUGCAGUGCAGUAGUAUGAUCACGGUUCACAACAGGCUUGACCCCCCACACUGAAUUGAUCCUCCCACUUCAGCCUCCAGAAUAGCUGGGACUACAGGCAUGUACCACCAUACCUGGCUAAUUUUUAAUUUUUUUGUAGAGUUGAGUUCUCACUAUGUUGCUGAUAUGGUUUCGCUCUGUGUCUCCACCAAAAUCUCAUCUCGAAUUGUAAUCCCCAGUGUCGGGGGAGGGACCUGCUGGGAGGUGAUUGAUCAUGGGGGUGAAUUUCUCUCUUGCUAUUCUUGUGAUAGGGAGUGAGUUCUCAUGAGAUCUGGUUGUUUAAAAGUGUGAAGCACUUCCCCCUUCAUGCUCUCUCUCUCCUACUGUCAUGUGAAAAUGUGCUUGCUUCCCCUUUGCCCUUCUGCCAUGAUUGUAAGUUUUCUGAGUCUUUCCCAGCCAUGUCUUCUGCAUGGCCUGUGGAACUGUGGGUCAAUUAAACUUCUUUUCUUUAUAAAUUACCCAGUCUCAGGUAGUUCUUUAUAACAAUGUGAGAGUGGACUAACAUAGUUGCCCAAGUUGGUCUUGAACUUCUGGGCCCAAGUCAUCCUCCUGGCAGAGCCUUCCAAAGUGCUGGGAUAUGUGAGCCACUGCCCCUGGC